rnacentral:rRNA from 1 species
ACGCUCGACACCUACUGGAGGCAGCAGUGGGGGAAUAUUGGGCAAUGGGGGAAACCCUGACCCAGCAACGCCGCGUGGAGGAAGAAGGUCUUCGGAUUGUAAACUCCUGUCCUUAGGGAAGAAACAAAUGACGGUACCUGAGGAGGGAGCUCCGGCUAACUACGCGCCAGCAGCCGCGGUAAUCUGAGCGGGCUGGCAAGGC